rnacentral:rRNA from 2 species
AGAGUUUGAUCCUGGCUCAGAUUGAACGCUGGCGGCAGGCCUAACACAUGCAAGUCGAGCGGCAGCACAGAGAAACUUGUUUCUCGGGUGGCGAGCGGCGGACGGGUGAGUAAUGCCUGGGAAAUUGCCCUGAUGUGGGGGAUAACCAUUGGAAACGAUGGCUAAUACCGCAUGAUAGCUUCGGCUCAAAGAGGGGGACCUUCGGGCCUCUCGCGUCAGGAUAUGCCCAGGUGGGAUUAGCUAGUUGGUGAGGUAAUGGCUCACCAAGGCGACGAUCCCUAGCUGGUCUGAGAGGAUGAUCAGCCACACUGGAACUGAGACACGGUCCAGACUCCUACGGGAGGCAGCAGUGGGGAAUAUUGCACAAUGGGCGCAAGCCUGAUGCAGCCAUGCCGCGUGUGUGAAGAAGGCCUUCGGGUUGUAAAGCACUUUCAGUCGUGAGGAAGGUGGUGUUGUUAAUAGCAGCAUCAUUUGACGUUAGCGACAGAAGAAGCACCGGCUAACUCCGUGCCAGCCGCCGCGGUAAUAC